AUUUAAACUUGUGUAUAUAUUUUUUCGUUUGGGUGUAUUAUAUUUGCCUUUCGGGUUUAUAUGAUCCAUUCAUCCUAUUUCGACGAUUCAAAAUUCAAGAGUCUAUCCUAAAUUGAGGUAGAGCAGACCAAUGCUUCCAAUGAAGAUGAUGAUACAGACAGUAACAAGGAUGAGGAUGAACUUGCAGUUGGCACAAAAAUGUCUACAAGAUGGUCAGAUGGCAGUUUUUACAAUGCUGUCAUCAUCAGCAAGAGAAAAAAUGGUUAUUAUGUAAAGUAUUCUGAUGGGCGGAAGAAAGUUGUCAGUAGACGAGACAUCAAGAUGUUAUAAAAUCCAAGUAGAAAUGAAAGUUUUUGAAGACAUUUGACUAUUUCUAUUAUUAGUUAGAGAGAUGGACAAUAUAAUUUUGAAAACUAAUGUGUAACUAUAUAAUUGUAUAACAAAUGAAUUACAUUGUAUCUAAUAAAUUUUGCUACGUAGAAGUA